rnacentral:rRNA from 1 species
UACGAAGGGGGCUAGCGUUGCUCGGAAUUACUGGGCGUAAAGGGCGCGUAGGCGGACAGUUAAGUCAGAGGUGAAAGCCCAGGGCUCAACCCUGGAAUAGCCUUUGAUACUGGCUGUCUUGAGUGCGGGAGAGGUGUGUGGAACUCCGAGUGUAGAGGUGAAAUUCGUAGAUAUUCGGAAGAACACCAGUGGCGAAGGCGACACACUGGCCCGUAACUGACGCUGAGGCGCGAAAGCGUGGGGAGCAAAACAGG